CUGGGGCUCACUCACAGUGACUACCCUUCAGGACACAAGAUGGAAACCAAGCAACACUGUGAUGCAUCACUAAAUUUUUCUGACAGUAUAAUAGUCAGGAAUCUCGCCCACCAUUUGACACACCCAGGUCCAGUUGCCUUCAGUGAGCAGUCACGGCCGGUCAAUAAGAGACCUUGCAACUAUUCACAGAGUUAUCUGUGUUAUGUUUCCUGUGCCUUGGUGCAAGCUGACUGCUGGGGAAGGGAUCCUUAGUGCGAGGCUUUUUCUGGAGAAAAGGAGCAUGGCUUCUUCCACAUAGAGGUUACCUCUUGGCACUGAAGGAACUCUUAUGACUACAAAGUUCAUUUUUU
rnacentral:lncRNA from 1 species